UGGGGAAUUUUGGACAAUGGGCGAAAGCCUGAUCCAGCAAUGCCGCGUGUGUGAAGAAGGCCUUCGGGUUGUAAAGCACUUUUGUCCGGAAAGAAAUCCUUGGCUCUAAUACAGUCGGGGGAUGACGGUACCGGAAGAAUAAGCACCGGCUAACUACGUGCCAGCAGCCGCGGUAAUACGUAGGGUGCAAGCGUUAAUCGGAAUUACUGGGCGUAAAGCGUGCGCAGGCGGUUUGCUAAGACCGAUGUGAAAUCCCCGGGCUCAACCUGGGAACUGCAUUGGUGACUGGCAGGCUAGAGUACGGCAGAGGGGGGUAGAAUUCCACGUGUAGCAGUGAAAUGCGUAGAGAUGUGGAGGAAUACCGAUGGCGAAGGCAGCCCCCUGGGCCAAUACUGACGCUCAUGCACGAAAGCGUGGGGGAGCAAACAGGAUUAGAUACCCUGGUAGUCCACGCCCUAAACGAUGUCAACUAGUUGUUGGGGAUUCAUUCCUUAGUAACGUAGCUAACGCGUGAAGUUGACCGCCUGGGGAGUACGGUCGC
rnacentral:rRNA from 1 species